ensembl:snoRNA U3 Small nucleolar RNA U3
AUGACUGUACUUCCAGGAAUAAUAUAUAUAGUUCAUUACUAGAGAAGUACCUCUAACUGUGUAGAGUACUGGAAACCAUGAGCAUAAAGCAGAAUGUUCUCUUCUGAGCAUGAGGCUGGAUCUUAGUGUUGCUUUGCUGCAAAUUCCACUUGCCUUUGAUGAUAUUCUUCCUCUCCUUAGACAUAAUCAAAGGGAGAGAACGCAGUCUGAGUGGC